rnacentral:rRNA from 1 species
UACGUAGGGGGCAAGCGUUGUCCGGAUUUACUGGGCGUAAAGCGCACGUAGGCGGACUAUUAAGUCAGGGGUGAAAUCCCGGGGCUCAACCCCGGAACUGCCUUUGAUACUGGUAGUCUUGAGUUCGAGAGAGGUGAGUGGAAUUCCGAGUGUAGAGGUGAAAUUCGUAGAUAUUCGGAGGAACACCAGUGGCGAAGGCGGCUCACUGGCUCGAUACUGACGCUGAGGAGCGAAAGCGUGGGGAGCGAACAGG